UGAGCUGAGCGUGUGUGCCCUUUUGUGGCUGCUUCCGUUUCCUCAGGGCCAUGUACUGAGAGAUAAAGGGAAAGGUGUCACAGUUUCUAGAGAGAGGACAUCUCCAUGAUUUCAUUUUUGCACAUGUCCCUGUCUCUGAAAAUCUUAGGAAGGAAUCACUGGGUCAAAAGGGAACUUGCAUCUUAAAUUCAGCCGGCAUCACCAAAUUGCUCUCCAACAAACGACGUGAGGUCAAGGGCAGUCUCAUUAUUUUGCUCCUUUAAAACAUAGCCUCUUUCUUGGGCUGGUGGUGGAAUUUCAAAGUUUUCUGACGAAUGUUCCAAUUACAAUUUGCUUUGGACUUACAGCCUGGUGUAGCUUGAUGGUAGUUUUGGGGACUCGAGCAAAUAGGAAAAGACAAGGAAAUGAAGCCACCAGAGGUGAGUUGUAAGAAGAAUUUAGGACAUAGACAGGCACAAAGGGAAGACAAUGCGAGACACAGGAAGAAGACGGCCGUCUGCAAGCCAAGGAGCGAGGCCUCAGAAGAAACCAACCUUGCCAACACCUUGAUCUCUGGCUUCCCACCUCCAGAACUGUGAGGAAAUAAAUUUGUUGUGUAAGCCUCCAGUCCAUGGUGCCUUGUUACAGAAGUGUGAGGAAACUAAACCACAAGAUUCCAAGCAAUGAGGGAAGAGAACAGGGGCUUCCCCAGCCGCAUAGAGAGACUCAGGACCCUCGGUAAAACAACAGUUUGAACAAAAAUGUCACCAAACCAGGACAGAAAUGAGGGCAGCACGCCUUUGGAGGAACUAGCCUUUGCUCUGAAAGCAAGAUUGGGAAAUAUUAAUUGCCACCAUUGGCUUUGGCGGUCUUGUGUGACUGGUUCUUAACGACACGCUUCCUAGGAGUGGACAAACAGCAAUGUGGGCAUGUCACUGGGUCACCUACUUUCCACCCUUCUAGAUAGGGGGUAACCAGGAAUGGAAGGCAGUAUGCCUUUCCUGUCACCAUCUCUGACGUGGUCACAAAGAGCCAUCCUCAAGCCCCACUACUUAGCUUAGCAGUGAAAGAAGGACUGAGGAGUCUGAAAAGUUAGGUUCUAGCUCAAGCAGAUCAAUCACGGAAUCACAUCACUAUCUCUGCAAAUCAGCCUCGUUAUCUGUGAGAAAAAUUCCUAUUCCUCUUGAUAUCACAGAGGUUUUCUCUCAAGUAAGACCAUUCAUGACUAUUAUACCCCCACCUGCUCCCCAGAACUGUAGUGGGCUUGUUAUAAAGACAUAAAAUAGGAUAUCUAAGCAAGCAUAAUAUAAUUGAAGUUGAGAAAUGGAGGGAGGAUAUGGCUGUAUAUUAUACUGUGCCAUAUGGACUAAGCCCAAAAUUUAGCUCUGGGCAUCCUGGCAGCCAAGAGGAAAAGUGGAACACUUUCAGAAAUAGGAAAAAGAGGGGCGCUUGGAUGGCUCAGCCAGUUAAGCCUCUGACUUCAGCUCAGGUCACGAUCCCAUGGUUCUCGAGUUUGAGCCCCGCAUUGGGCUCUGUGCGGACAGCGUGGAGCCUGCUUCAGAUCCUGUCUCCCUCUCCCUCUGCCCCUUCCCCACUCACGUGUGCUCUUUCUAUCUCAAAAGUAAAUAAACAUUAAAAAAAUAGGAAAAAGAAAACUGUAAAGUAUAAGAUACUACAGUUUCACUUACUAUACUUUUUUAAAGUAAACAUUAUACAUAUUUAAAAUGAUAGUUUUAUUUUAAUGUGCAGAUUCCAAACAUGAACAGAAUGCAUCCAGGUUGUAAACUCGCAUUCCUUGCAUUUCUAGACAUUUUAGGCUUUUGAGACUUGUUGAGUUUAGGACAGAUUCACUUAUCCCUUGUAGCCUCUUCCCAAUCACAAUCUCAUGUUCUAGGCAAAUCCAAUCAACUUUUUUUUUCUCUCCUUCUCUCUUUAUAAAAAUAGCAUCUAUACUUUUUUCUAAGUAUGAGAGCAAUCCCUGCUCCUAGUAGAAAUGCAUAAAAUAUUGAAAACUAUAAAUGAGAAUUAAAAUAUCCGUGGUCCCCCCGUCCCAUCCCUUCCAGAUGACCGCCACCAACAUUUCUGUGGAUUUCAUCGCAGUAUCUUCUUUAUGUUUGCUGACUCUCCUAGUACUUCUUGACCCACAGAUUUUUGCUUGCCUCUACCUUAGAAAUGUUGGCACUGGAUAAACACUGUGUAGGAGCCUCUAGAUUUACCAGCUUGUCAGCGCCUCCCGGACUUGGAGUUUGUUUCCUUUAAAAGAAAAGUGAGCAGCCCGUUCCUGGUGCCAGUCUCGCCUCUCCCGCCUGCGGAGCCUUGGGCAGCAGCUGCCUCCACGGGGCCGAGGCGUGGACGUGUCAUCGUGGACAGCUGGUGUGACCAAGUCCCACUCUGUGCUGCAGAUUGCCAGCAACCCCAGUCUAGUGGCAAACUGAGUUCCAAGCCACUAUAAUUGUCUUUGUCCAAUAUUCCUAAUCUUCUCAGUGAAAUUUACCUGAAGGCAGAGUGGGCUUUGAGAAAGGGCUUCUCAUCACCGCCCCACUCCAUUUAAAAAAAAAAAAAAAUCCACAGCACGAUUCUGAACUUUCUUGCCCCUUCUCUUUAUAUUAUUGAUUCAUCAUUGACAUAGAACGUUGUAUUUGUUUCAGGUGUGCAAUAUAAUGAUUCCGUAUUUGUGUAUAUGGUGAAAUGAUCAGCACAGUAAGUCUUGUUACCAUCCGUCACCGUCUGCCCCUUCUCAGUCCACUGUUGAAAUUCCAAAUGGAUACAGAUUAACACACAUCAUUUAAAAGUACCACUCCAGAGGCGCUUUGGUGGGCGGUUGAGCACCCAACUCUGGAUCUCAGCUCAGAUCAUGAUCUCACAGUUCUUGUGUUGGAGCCCCACAUCGGGUUUUACACUGAGAGCGUGGAGCCUGCUUGGGAUUCUCUCUCUCCCUUUCUCUGACCCUCCCCCACUCUCUCUCUC